AGCUGUACUCUUAAGCAGAGUAGAAAACAACCUAGUUGCUCGACAAAGAGCGACUAGGAAAAGGGAGGAUGGGGAGGGACCUCACGAAAGUAUCCUCCCCACUCAGGGGUCACACUGCUGAAGGCUCACCUGAGAUACAGUCAACAUUCCACCUGCAGGCGGAGCAUGGCCUUCUCUUCAAGGUACGACGAUUUAUUAGAAGGGCCGCUCACUGAGCUGCUACCACCCAGCACGAAUUACUGUGCUGGAAUCACUUCAUUCUGAAACAACGCACCUUGGUAGCAUUAGGUUUGUUGGGGUUGGGGGUGUUGCGCAAAGUGGGAAGAAGCUGGAAGGGACUCCGAGGGCAACAGGAGGCUGCAGCAAUGAGAAGUGGGGCUGGAGGGAGGUGUCAAGGAUAAGCUCUGCCCCACCCAGCUGUCCUGUGACCACGGAGCUUGAUUGAAUCUAUCUGUCCUAGAACCAGCUCAGGCCACACCCACCAAUGUCACCUAGACAAUGGCUGGCAACAGCACCCACUUGAGCCCCCUACUGACUGGGAGUUCCGGUCAGCUUGCUGUGGAAAACCUGUGAACGACCCAGACUCAGAGAGGAGCCCGGCUUGCUAGUUGUGGGGAGUAGUGAGUGACAGUUACUGGAAGUCGUGCCUUUCGGCCUAUGGUGGAAAGAUGCUAAAGUAGAAAGGCUUUCAGGGCCUGAAGGUGGGGAAGACUUGGGACCAGCACCCCGACAUGCUGAUCCCUGGACACUCCCUGCCCUGCCUUGUCGCCGCUUGCUCCCUCUGGCUCCCCGUCAUCUCUUUCUUCAGCUGCAGAUGCAGAUGCCAACUGGGUAAAGGGAGUGGUGCUGCUCCACGCCUCCUGGCCUUUGCCUUCUGGUCCCUGUAACCAGAGACACGGAUCCUGGUGUAGCCUGCAUUCUGUCUGAGCAUCCCAGGGGGAUCCCAGGCUUUGUGGAUCCAGCAUCCGCAGCAUCAACCGACACAAAGAAGUCAAGUCAGACAGCUCCACCCCAAGUCCUGUUGCCAGGAGGCACUGAAUGAGGAGUGUAGGAACCACUGGGCCCUGCCCUUCAGUGAUGCCAUGCCCAGGCCAGCCUGGCCCAGGGAUUUAGCCAGCGGGCACUGUGGAAAUACAAGAGCCAAUUCUUGGACAGAAAUGAGUUUGAAUCCAAGAUUUGCCUCCCAUUCACCAUGUGGCCUUGGGCAGAGGUUUGUCCUGUCUGAGCCUUGAUUUCCUCAUGUGGAGAGCAAGCGCUUGGUUUUCAUCCGAUCAUGUGUAUGGUGUCCUCGGCACAAUGCCUGGUCCGUGCUCAUCAGGUCGUGCUCAUGUUGGUCCUCUUCUCCUCAUGUUCACAGCCACUGCCACCUUCGCUUAGCUUUAUUUCCCUGCUCUGGACACGUCUGUGCAUCGUGCAAAGCCUUCACCAAUUCCUCCUGUGGGCUGUGCCCAGAAGCUCCAGGGCCAGUGUUCUUUCUCCUCACUGUGCCUGCUCUGCUCCCUGAAGGUCUUUCUCCUGCUCCUCUUCUCUGCAGAAUCUCCACGUGAGCUCCACCAAAGCCAAGGGAGCCUCUCCUCCCUUGCUCUCCUUCAGCCCUGUGGCUUUGCGGAUUAUCUCUAUGCAGACGACUCCAUCCCUGGAGGAAUCAUCCCCGUGAAGCCAUGGGUGCCUGAUGACAGGAAACACCACCUCAGAACCCAGCAAGGCAAUGGGGGCAAUGAAGCGUCCACCUCCAGCUGUCAGAAAAUGCCCAAGUCAGAAUCACUGCAUGCCGGAGUUGCAAGAGACCAUCCCAAACCUCUCACUCCUCACUUAUGCAUUCAAGGAAAUGGAGGCCCAGAGAACGGAGUUCAUUGCUCUAAGUCACCAGAGCUGGAAGCAUAACCAAAGCUUCUUCAUUCACAACUUGGGAAUGUUUCUCUAUGUCCAUAAUGCAGGAAUUCAGGCUGCCCAGCACGUUCUAUUGUUCAGUAUAUUUUAAAAUACAGAAUGAAAAAGAAGGGUGUCGGGAAAUGCUGUUGGUCCAAGCAGUCAAAUUAAUUCCAGUUUGGGAUGUUUAGGGAGCAGCUUUUGAUGCUAUAGUAACUUUCAUGAACAACUGCAGGAAAAUAUGAUUUCAGACCCAAGCACCGAGGAAGACCAAGAGGCUUCCUGAGAGCAGCAGGACGUUGCACUCUUAUCUCCCCGGCUACAGAGGAAGAAAAGCUUGGAUUUAGACCCAGGUGAUGCACUGGGAGGAAAAGGGCAGGGGCCCAUGGCUCAGAUACUGAAGCAGAAUUCAGCAUGACCGCAUGAGGGGGCCUGAAGAUAGUCCUCUUGUGACAUCUGGCAGUUGUUCAGAGGCAUCUCCCAGAUGAACAGAAGUUGGCGGGUCCUGAUCUCCUCGCACCAGAGGCCCUGGCCCAGGCCUCUCCACUCUUCUGCCUCUUGUCGCUUCUUCUUCUCUAGUGCCAGGGCUUUGGGUACCAUCUUGUUGUGAAUGACUCCAUCCCGAGGCCUCUGACCAGUGUGUCCACCUGACAUCUCCCCUCCAAGGGCUAACAGAUACGUCAAAACCGUGCUCUGGCUUUUCCUCACUCACACAGGCCCCGCCUCCAGCCCGCCUCCUUGCCUAACUGCUCCAUCCUUCUCUGACUUAGGCCAAAUCUCCCAGUCCUCCUGGGCAAUUCUCCUUCUGCCCCCAGGCAGUCUGUCAGGAAACACUGUUAAUUUUGUUUGCAAAACAGAGUGAUGGGCUGACCAUUUUCCACCGCUUCUACUGCCACAACUUUGCUCCAUGCAAUGGACAUCUUCCACCUGGAUGACCACAUUUGCCUUCCAAAUGAUUUUCCAGAUUCCACCGUUGACUCCUACAGACAGCCAGACUGGUCUCUUUAAAAACCAGAGUCAGGUCACGUGACACCUCUGCUCAAAGCCACCAGUAUAUCCCCUUCUUGCUCAGAGUAAAAGCCCAAAUGAGGACACUGUUAGUUACCCCUCUGCUACCCUCGCCUCUCCUUUCCCAGCUCAGUCUGCACCAGCCAACUUGGCUCCUCCUGCUGUGCUACCUCUUCUCCCAGAUCUCCGCAUGGAGAAUCCUCAAUUCCUUCAUGUCUUUACGUUGUUCAACUGUCACCUCCUUAAGGAAGCCCAUCUUAUUUAAACCAGCGCCUGCCAUCACUGCUCCCCAGCACCUUGGGGCCCCCUUAUCAGGCUACUUUUUUUCCUGAAACGUCUAUCAUCUUCUAACACACCGUACGAGUUCCUUAUUUUCUGUCCUUGUUGCAUUGUGACUUGUCUGACUAUUCCCGUCUACAGUGCAAAUCUGUGAAGGCAGGGGCUUUUGGUUUGCCAACUGAUGGAUCCCAGGUGCCUCAAACGGUGCCUGACAUAUAGGAAGUGAGACUCUGAAUGCUGUGGAAUGAAUGGAUGAUGGUUCCUCAGAGGAAGGGCCCCAUAGCCCGGGAAAGAGAAAAGGUGAGGGGAGUGUAAAUGUGGGGACGAUUUGGAGGAAAGUUAGGGUGGAGAAGGCAUCUGGGGAGGGGUUUAGGAGUUAAAGACGGCAGGUUACAGGUAAAAUGCCCUCAUGGAUUACACUGAAGCUGACAAUGUAGACUCUUUCCAAAUAGACUACCCUGGGAACAUAUGUCUUGUGAUGAGAGUAUGACUCAAAAUAUCUGGGAAGGCCCGGAGCAGGGCCCAGGGAUGCAGGAUUUUCUGAAGGAUCCCAUGGGCUUGGGAAGAGAAUGCUGGGGCUGUCCAUAAGGGCUAAUGUCCUACAGGCAGAACCAUCUAGUGGGAGGGAGUGACCUCUGAGGAUAGGCGGUGUUGCUCAGUUAAGCUGCCAUCCCUCACACUGGCUGCUAUGUGAGCACAGGGUCAAGCCGGACUGUGCUUUCAGAGCAGGCCCCUCCAGGCCUCAAAGUAAUGGACCGUGGUAUGUGUGUGUGUGCUGGUUUCGAUCCGGUUGUAUCUGUUGGCCAGCUCUAUGGGUCCAAGCAUAUCUGGGAAACAGGGCUCUCGACUGUGGGUUGUAGGUUAUAAUUAGACUAACCAAAAGGUCUUGGUUGGAGACUAGGCCCUCUGAGUGACACCAGCAGUAAAUUUGGAAAGAAUGUCAUUUGCUUGGGUGCCACGGUUUCUCCCAUUCCACAGUGCGUUACCAGUUUAUAUAGAGUUUUUAAAUAGAUGCUCUUAUUUGAGCUUCAAAACACACUGCUGUAAAUACCACAUUCCUCUGACAGAUGAACAAACAGAGUCUUUGGGCAUGUUGGUAACGCUCUGACAGGAAGCAGCAGCAAGACUCAACAAUCUGCCAGUGUUCUGACUUCAAGUCCAGCUUUCUCCUCUCCCAAACCACCUUCCUGCCUUGGGGGAUGUUAUGUUUGUUCUUUUGGUUCAGAAGCCAUCAGUUGUGUGGGAGAGGGAGAAAGUGGCUCUGAAAUAGGUGUCGGGUCUCAGGACACCUCCUCUUGCUGUCAGUCACAUGCACGGUUGCCACCCUGUCCCCCGACAAUCCUUCAGUGGGACUUCAAAGCCACGAGUGCCUCGGGCUGGAGCAUCUCAGUGUGGGAGGACACAGGGCAGUGGAACUCUCAGCGGGGCUGAUUAUCGCUUAUUUACAAAGUGGAAAAAACGCUGUGGUUAUUUAAGAUAUCAAUUACAGAACGUAAGUUCUGAGUAAACUGUGGCCGGUGGCAGUACACCGGGGAGGGACAGGUGAGGUUUCUGUUUACCAAAAGGCAUUGUGGAGUACAGAAACCAGGAAUUCUGGCCUAGCAGGAAGUGAGCUGGCCCCAGGAGGGCUAGGCUGACUCUGAGGCACUGGAAAGGUACUUAAUCUCUCCAUCAUCACCUUUAGCAUCAGCAAAUUGGGGAUGAGAGUUCCUACCUGUCGAAGGGUAGUUUAGCGUGAAGUCAGAUAAAUGCAAAGUGAUUUGUAAAUAGAAAACCACUAUUCCGAUGUCAGGAGCUGCUACAUGGGUCCAGGACCCCUCCCUACUCCCAACAGAGCCCCCUUUUCUGUAUAAAUUUUAUAGAAAAUGC